rnacentral:rRNA from 1 species
GGCAGAUAUAGGGUUUGAUAUUUGGUCUAAGAAUAUAAGGGUGGAGCUUUAUUAUUCAAUAAUGGGUAAAAUAUAAGUUAAUAAGUAUAUAUUUUAAUAAUUAGGUUUUUUAGUGGCCAUAUUUUUAAAGUGUUUUAACUAAUAUAGUUGGAUAAUUUAUUUAUUAGACUUUAUUUAUUUAAUAAUAUGUUUUUAUAAUAGAUGAAUAUUAGUAAUAAUGAAAAUAUUAGUAGAAUAGGUAUUAUAAGAAGGAAAGAAAAAUAUUAAGGGGAAAAUAUAAUUUGAUAAAAAAAGAAUAGAGGAACUCGGCAAAUAAGGUCCUUGCCUGUUUAACAAAAACAUGUCUCUAUGAAGUUAUAUGAAGUCUGACCUGCCCGUUGAAAUUUAUUGAAAGGCCGCGGUAUAUUAACUGUGCAAAGGUAGCAUAAUUAGUAGUUUUUUAAUUGAAGGCUUGUAUGAAGGGUUGGACAAAGGAUAAGCUGUCUUUAUUUUUGUAUUUGAAUUUGUCUUUUAAGUGAAAAGACUUAAAUAAAUUUAAGGGACGAUAAGACCCUAUAAAUCUUUAUAUUAGUUUAAUUUUAUGUUAAAUUUUAAUGUUUAAAAGGGUAAAUUUAUGUAGUAUUAUAUUGGGGUGAUAGGAAUAAUAAAUUAACUGUUCAAAAGUGAAACAAAGAUAUUUGAAUAAAUAUUAUAGAAGAUCCUUGAUGGAGAUUGAAAGUUUAAGUUACUUUAGGGAUAACAGCGUUAUUUUUUUUGAGAGUUCUAAUCGAAAAAAAAGUUUGCGACCUCGAUGUUGAAUUAAAAUUUCUUUGUGGUGUAGCAGUUAUAAAAGAGAGUCUGUUCGACUUUUAAAAUUUU